AUUGAACGCUGGCGGCAGGCCUAACACAUGCAAGUCGAACGGUAACAGGAAGAAGCUUGCUUCUUUGCUGACGAGUGGCGGACGGGUGAGUAAUGUCUGGGAAACUGCCUGAUGGAGGGGGAUAACUACUGGAAACGGUAGCUAAUACCGCAUAACGUCGCAAGACCAAAGAGGGGGACCUUCGGGCCUCUUGCCAUCGGAUGUGCCCAGAUGGGAUUAGCUAGUAGGUGGGGUAACGGCUCACCUAGGCGACGAUCCCUAGCUGGUCUGAGAGGAUGACCAGCCACACUGGAACUGAGACACGGUCCAGACUCCUACGGGAGGCAGCAGUGGGGAAUAUUGCGCAAUGGGCGAAAGCCUGAUGCAGCCAUGCCGCGUGUAUGAAGAAGGCCUUCGGGUUGUAAAGUACUUUCAGCGGGGAGGAAGGGAGUAAAGUUAAUACCUUUGCUCAUUGACGUUACCCGCAGAAGAAGCACCGGCUAACUCCGUG
rnacentral:rRNA from 1 species